AUUGAACGCUGGCGGCAGGCUUAACACAUGCAAGUCGAGCGAGCGGCGGACGGGUGAGUAAUGUCUGGGAAACUGCCUGAUGGAGGGGGAUCACUACUGGAAACGGUAGCUAAUACCGCAUACCAUCAGAUGUGCCCAGAUGGGAUUAGCUAGUAGGUGGGGUAAUGGCUCACCUAGGCGAGGAUCCCUAGCUGGUCUGAGAGGAUGACCGGCCACACGGGAACUGGGACACGGUCCAACCUCCUACGGGAGGCAGCAGUGGGGAAUAUUGCUCAAUGGGCGAAAGCCUGAGGCAGCCAUGCCGCGGGUGUGAAGAAGGCCUUCGGGUUGUAAAGCACGUUAAGCGAGGAGGCGUUACUCGCAGAAGAAGCACCGGCUAACUCCGUGCCAGCAGCCGCGGUAAUAC
rnacentral:rRNA from 1 species